CUGCAGCCCGAGUGGUGACCGAUUUUAUUGAGCCUAAAGCGUCCGUAGCCGGACUAGUAAACCCUUGGGUAAAUUGGGCAGCUUAACUGUCCAAAUUCCGAGGGGACUGCUAGUCUUGGGACCGGGAGAGGUCAGAGGUACUCAAGGGGUAGGGGCUAAAUCCUGUAAUCCCUUGGGGACCACCAGUGGCGAAGGCGUCUGACUAGAACGGAUCCGACGGUAAGGGACGAAACCCUGGGGCGCGAACCGGAUUAGAUACCCGAGUAGUCC
rnacentral:rRNA from 1 species